rnacentral:lncRNA from 1 species
UGCAAUUUAGUAUACCGUUCUGCUUGUAGAUGUAAAAAAAUAUGGAUUAAUAGAAAAACUUUCUCUCUCUAAUUUCUCUCACAUCUCUCUAGAGCUCUCUUUAACAAAUCACCGUUUUGGUGGCCGGCGGCCUUAUCACCGUCGGUCACCUUCUCUUUUUUGUUUUUAGUUCCGAUUUCUGAUCUGAUUUAAGUCCGGCUUGCUCGGAUAUCUGUUGUUUAUAUUUCUCUUUCUCUUAUCUCCGUUUUAUAGGGUUUAAUCUCCGCCCAGUUCGGUUCUUUUGUUUUCUUUUCUUCACCUUUUGAGGGCUUGAUCCUCUUUCCAACUUACUUGGAAAGUUUAAAUGCAUGGUUUUUGAUUGGUUUCGUGUUUUCUUUUGGUCAUGUUUGCUCGUCUCUUCAUAUAAGUGUAAUUCUUUGCUUUUGUUGAAAGAGUCUUAUGAGCAGAGUUUCUAUAUGCAAGAUUCGACAAGGGUUUCAGAUGCUCGAGUGCUUUGCAUGAAGAAUCAGUGGUUUUCGUCGCGUUAGAUGAGUCCCUGAAGAGUGUGAUGCCUCGAUCUUCUGUGGGGUUAACUCGUACCGAGGGUUCAACAAGAUCCAAUCCUUAAGCCAGAGAUAUUCAAAAGGUGAAAAAGGCAGAUUUGUAUGUUCUUCUUAGGUCUCAUGGAGAAUAAAGCUUCCAGACCCUAAGUUUAGCGGACAUAGCCAAGGCGAUGAUGCGGCGGAGCGGCGGAGCGGCGAAGCUUUCAUGACGAUGGUCUCUUCUUUUUAGCAUGUGGCAAAAACAAUAGAGACGUGCCUUGCUCCUAAUCGCAGAAAGUGGAAGAUACAUGUUUAAUUAAUUUUCAUCCUUAUUCCCUGAAUCUGGGCUUUGUCUUCUUUUAAUUUCAUUGUUGGGCUUGUCCCAUACUAAAUAUGUCUUGUAAAAAACUGGCAUUUAUGGCUUUUAAUAUUAAAGAUUGUCGACAAAAAACAGAUGUAAAAAAUAUGGGUUUAACGUAAGCUUUCCAAUAAUAAAAAAUAAAUAUAUAUUCAAGUUUAAAACAGAAACAAGUACAAUAUUAAUCUCGAG